AACCAGAUGCUCCGCAGGGCGCAGCUUUAUACAACUGCAGAGGUUGAACCCUGAACGGUUGGGGCAAGUAUGGACACAACAUUCAAGCUGGAUUCAGCUCUAAAUUUGGAUUGUGAUUAAAUAGUUGACACAGCAUAGGUUUCUGACACAGAAUGAAUGUGGUCUAAGGCCACACCAAUUAAAUUCGACGGACCCGCCCGCACCUAUUUUUUUCAAAACAGAAUUUUUUUAUUUUUUUUAUAUUCCCGCUUCCCGCAUCCGGAAAUGUAAUCAUGUCCAUUUCCCGCAACGUUUUUUUUUGUUAAGUUUGUAAAUAUUAUAAAAAGAUAUCAACAUUUGUUUUUUAUAAUCACAUUCUAACCUGUUUAUAACGAUUUUAAACCUAUAAGCAUCCCAUAACACUGUGUAAGUAUCUGUGAGAAUAUUUGUUUCAGCAUGAAACGUGGGAGUGCUCCGAUAUAAAUACAUAGCAGCGGAAAUACCUGUACAGAACAAAACAUUGGUUUCUUUCCCCCUUACUUAUAUUCCCUAUCAAAAACUGUUCGUUGUUAAAAUAAAGUACAAAGAACUUCUAAUGGAUUUGCCUUCAACUGCAAUUAUAUUGUAUGCUGGCGAAACAAAACUAUACAUAGCCGCUGCAUGUUUAUGUACCUGUCCUGAUUUAUUCAGGGGCCUGUCGUUCAGCAGUUAUCGUUUGUAGAUUUUUGUAUAAAUUAGAUAGUAGGUUUUCCUGUUCGAAUUGUGUACACCAAUAAUUGUGGGGUCCCUAAAAGCUUGCUGUUUGGUCUGGAUCAAAGCCCUGUGUAAAAGGCCGUACUUUGACCUGUGACUGUGUUUGUUAUUAUCAGGUUGUGAACAACCCUCCCUCAGACAACAGGACAAGGGGUAAUGUUACUGUUGUAGAAAAGAAAAUAGAAAUACCAAGGAUUUGUAUAGUGCUACUAUACAAAACCUUUGAAAAUUUAGAUUUUUUUACUCAAAAAGAGGAGAAAUACAUCAUAUUUUAAACAAUUUUUCUAAAAGAGGGGUCCACUUAUUUUGAAUAAUAUUAAAUAAACUGUUUAUAAAGUAAAUGUGUUACAGGGCCGUAACUAGGGAUCGAUUUCAGGGGAGGCAGGGGUUUGGGACCGCCGAUUAAGGCCCCUAGAGAGGGGGGUUUCGGGGUGCAGCCUCCUGCCGAUUUUUUCCCCUCAGUAAAAUGGCUUAAAAUGACCCGUUUUCCUUCGAUUUCGUUACUUUAAGACUCAUCAGUAUUGCUUGAACCUGGAAGCAAUUUUUUUGCAAAAACAAACUGAGAUUGCUGUUCGGGUUGAGCCAAGGCUCCGUCUUGAAGGUCGUACUUUUAACUAUAAUUAUUAACAUUAAAUACAUUGUGACCGCCGAUUUUUUUCUCUCAAUAAAAUGGCGAAAAAAAACACCUGUUUUCCUUCGAUUUCCUUACUUUACGACUCAUCAGUAAUGCUUGAAACUCGGGAGCAAUUUGUUUUGCAAACAAUUAUUAUCUGUAUUUAAAGAUAUUUUUGUUAGAAAUCAAACUGGUAAGUUAAAAAAACAUAUCAAGUAUAAAGAUAAUAGAACGCAAACGGAAUAUUUUUUUUUAUCGAGGACCUUGAAUUUCAAUAUCAUAGUUUGAAAGCUGAAUAGACAUAUAUAGAACUACAACGAAUGGGAGUGUUUAACUACUAAUUAAGGCAUUGAGUCAAUGACCAUAAUGUUCUCGUACGAUCGGGAGACGUACUGUCUGACUAGACACGUGAAAAAAUUAUCCAAAAGCUGAUUCAGUCGGUAACGAAUUUCCGAUAUCAUAAAAGAUUCACAAAAGUCGAUUUGAAAAGCUCACUAGAGCUUGUGUUUAUGUAGUUUAUUGAAUUUCGACUCUAAAUAAAACUUUGAAUCUUGACAAUACAAAAGGAACUUCCUCUGCUUAAUUGAGCCCCUAAAUAUGGUAAAUAAAUGUGAUUAGUUAACUUUUAAUCAAAAUUGCCGAUAACAAAGUUUCAUAUGCGUUCUCGUACGACAUAGGAAAUAUUGAAUAACAGAUGGAUGGCCACACGAAAA
rnacentral:lncRNA from 1 species